CCUACGGGAUGCUGCAAUUAGGAAUCUUGCGCAAUGGGCGAAAGCCUGACGCAGCGACGUCGCGUGACUGAUGAAGUCUUUCGGGAUGUAAAGGUCUUUUCUGGGGGAAGAAGGAUGUGACGGUACCCCAGGAAUAAGCCCCGGCUAACUACGUGCCAGCAGCCGCGGUAAUACGUAGGGGGCGAGCGUUGUCCGAAUUCACUGGGCGUAAAGCGCGCGUAGGCGGACUUUUAAGUUGGGGGUGAAAUCCCGAGGCUCAACCUCGGAACUGCCUUCAAAACUGGAAGUCUUGAGGUAUGGGGAGGGAAGUGGAAUUCCAGGUGUAGCGGGGAUAUGCGUAGAUAUCUGGAGGAACACCCGUGGCGAAGGCGGCUUCCUGGCCAUAUCCUGACGCUGAGGUGCGAAAGCUAGGGGAGCGAACG
rnacentral:rRNA from 1 species